UUAUAUAGUAAAUUAAAAAAUAGUGUAUAUGGGUGCACUCAGAGUUUUGAUCUCUAAAGUAUAGGUCCGAGUCCUAUUUUUUUAAGGAA
rnacentral:tRNA from 1 species